UUGAAGAGUUUGAUCCUGGCUCAGAUUGAACGCUGGCGGC
rnacentral:rRNA from 1 species